rnacentral:tRNA from 1 species
UCCCUGGUGGCUCAGAUGGUAAUCUGCUUGCAAUGCAGGAGACCCAGGUUCGAUCCCUGGUUGGGGAA